UGGUGAUCGCCGCAGAUUUACCCGUCUGUGAGACUGAUCUGUUUUAAGGUAAGAAAGAGCGACACAAUUAUGGGACAAGCAUUGAGCAAGCAUGAUUUAUUUCUUAGGGGCCUCAAAGAGUCCCUCAAGACACGAGGAACAAGGGUUAAGAAAAAGGAUCUCAAAAAGUUUUUCGAUUUUGUGAAUGAUGUUUGUCCAU
rfam:Erinaceus europaeus unplaced genomic scaffold scaffold00928, whole genome shotgun sequence